GAUGAACGCUAGCGGCAGGCCUAACACAUGCAAGUCGAGGGGCAGCACAGAAACAGCAAUGUUUUGGUGGCGACCGGCGGACGGGUGCGUAACGCGUAUGCGACCUACCUUUAACAGGGGGAUAACGGAGAGAAAUUUCCACUAAUACCCCAUAACAUCGAUCAAGGCAUCUUGAUUGGUUGAAAACUCCGGUGGUUAAAGAUGGGCAUGCGUUGUAUUAGGUAGUUGAUGAGGUAAUGGCUCACCAAGCCUACGAUACGUAGGGGGACUGAGGGGUUAGCCCCCCACACGGGUACUGAGACACGGACCAGACUCCUACGGGAGGCAGCAGUGAGGAAUAUUGGUCAAUGGGGGCAACCCUGAACCAGCCAUGCCGCGUGCAGGAAGACGGCUCUAUGAGUUGUAAACUGCUUUUAAACAGGGAUAAAGCACAGUAUGUAUACUGUGUUGAAGGUACUGUAAGAAUAAGGAUCGGCUAACUCCGUGCCAGCCGCCGCAGUAA
rnacentral:rRNA from 1 species